CCCCUAGAUGUUCUGGGCCGCACGCACGCUACACUGAACAGUUCAACAAGUCUUAACCUUGGCCGAUAGGUCUGGGUAAUCUUUGAACGCUGUUCGUGAUUGGGAUAGACCUUUGCAAUUAUGGGUCUUCAACGAGGAAUUCCUAGUAAACGCAAGUCAUCAGCUUGCAUUGAUUACGUCCCUGCCCUUUGUACACACCGCCCGUCGCACCUACCGAUUGAAUGGUCCGGUGAAAUCUCGGGACGGCGGCUUGGUCGCUUGCGUCCGACUGCUGAAACUUGAUUAAACCAUAUCAUUUAGAGGAAGGUGAANUCGUAACA
rnacentral:rRNA from 1 species